AGCGACAACGGCAAACCCGCUGCAAGGCGGGGACGCAAAGCCACGGGGCCUACAUGGCCAGCCGAGCUACCGAAC
rfam:Cellulomonas sp. Leaf395 contig_5, whole genome shotgun sequence.